rnacentral:misc_RNA from 1 species
UUUUAUGUUUGUCCGGGUUUGACGAAAUUCGAGAUGGCAGCCCUGCGUAUAUAGCAACUACCACGUGUUGGAGCUUAUCUCAUUUGUGUUGGCUAGAUCUUUAUGUCGAAAUAUGUUUUGAUAUCCAUAUUAAACAUGACAAUGAAGAUAAAGUGCAGUUUAGGAAACUCGUAACAACUGCUUAGCUACCUUGUCUUUGAGCAUAUUUAUAAGGAAUUUCCAUCAUUCUGAUGGUAUGGCUGACGACUGCCAUAGUGUAUCUUCUUGUAGCGUCAUUUAUCGAUAAAUUUGUGUGUGUGUUAAGUGGUAAAUCGUCAUUUUCUUCAGGUGAUUAAUCGGCAUUCUGUAUAUGCUGUCGUAUAUUUUGAGCAUCCAGACACAGCCUCAAUGAAGAUUCGCUGACACCUUUUCAUACUAAAUUAAAACAAAUAGACAGGGAUAUAGAAGAAAAGCAUGAUAAAAUAAAUGAUCUCAAGAUAUUGAUACAUAAAAAUACUUUUAGAAUUGAAAAGUUAUUGAUGAGUGGGUCUGUGCAAUAAAAUUAUGUUUGUAGAUUAAAAUUUUAAAAUAAACUUAAUCCAGUACUUA